UAGGGAAUCUUCCACAAUGGACGCAAGUCUGAUGGAGCAACGCCGCGUGAGUGAAGAAGGUCUUCGGAUCGUAAACUCUGUUGUUAGAGGAGAACACGAGUGAGAGUAACUGUUCAUUCGAUGACGGUAUCUAACCAGCAAGUCACGGCUAACUACGUGCCAG
rnacentral:rRNA from 1 species